UACGAAGGGGGGCUAGCGUUGCUCGGAAUCACUGGGCGUAAAGCGCACGUAGGCGGACUCUUAAGUCAGACGUGAAAUCCCUCGGCUCAACCGGGGAACUGCGUCUGAUACUGGGUGGCUUGAAUCCGGGAGAGGGAUGCGGAAUUCCAGGUGUAGCGGUGAAAUGCGUAGAUAUCUGGAGGAAUACCGGUGGCGAAGGCGGCAUCCUGGACCGGCAUUGACGCUGAGGAGCGAAAGCUAGGGGAGCAAACGGGG
rnacentral:rRNA from 1 species